AGCGUGGGGAUGUGAAAUUUGCAUCCCAAGUUUUGCGAGUAAAUAAAAAUCCAGGAGAAAGUAAAGUUGAUCUCACAUGGGUUGCUUUCUCCACUCCACAUCACAAAGCUUAAGUCUCCCUUUUAUCUUUCUGUUGCUGUUUUCACAGGUGCAGCUUACCUUUACCCAUUUGCAGCAAAUACAUAUAGGAGAGGAGGAGAUUAAAAUUUAGCCAAAGUUAAAUGCAGAAACUUUCUGAACAAAAAGAUUUUCUUCUUUCGUACCAAUUCAGAAAGAGGAGGCCCAACUUACCAUGGUGGUUACACGUGGGAGUGAGUCAGCAAAGGGACACCAACAGAAGCCCUAAGUUGAGAAGUUUGGUGAAUGAUCACAACCACUCAAUUUGAAGGACCAACCAAAUUUCACCAACCAACAACGUAUCUUGUGCGGCCUCAUGCUUAACUAAAGUUUAGCCAAAAAGAAUUUAGGUUGACCACCUUGAUUACCUUUAUCCAUUUUUUUCAAUAAUAAAGUUGGAAGAUUUAGGUUACGUGGGUGAGAUUGAUUUGCACUUUCAAAAGGUUAAGCUAAAUAAGAGAUUCUAAUCAAGCCAGGGUGCGCUCCAUGCAAUGCAUUGCAUUGGUUGGGAUGGGUGGUUAGAAGAAUCUGGAUGAUUACUUAGCCUGGUUAGUAAAGUAAUCAUAAUCAACCACCCAAUUAUUUUUGGAUUUGUUUGUUGCUAGUACUAAAUACACAUGGUCUUCUGAAUCAUUUGAUGAUCCCGCAAACAUAUAAAUAUUACAGCAUUAUUCAAUAUUCAAUAUUCCCGCAAACAUAUAAAGAUUUCUCCAAUUAAACAGAAAACUAGUCGUAUCAUUAAGAAAGAAAAGAAGAAAAAAAGUGUAAGGCAUUGAGUUUCACCUAAAGAGGCCGAAAGAUAAUCCAAGAAUGGCUAGGCUGCUAGGCAAUAGUUUAUGUUAUGAAGCAAGCAUAGCAUCAUCAUAGACUGUUUAUCGGGUUGU